rnacentral:rRNA from 1 species
UACGUAGGGGGCUAGCGUUGUCCGGAAUCAUUGGGCGUAAAGAGCGUGUAGGCGGCCCGGUAAGUCCGCUGUGAAAGUCGGGGGCUCAACCCUCGAAUGCCGGCGGAUACUGUCGGGCUAGAGUGCGGAAGAGGCGAGUGGAAUUCCUGGUGUAGCGGUGAAAUGCGCAGAUAUCAGGAGGAACACCGGUGGCGAAGGCGGGUCUCUGGGCAAUAACUGACGCUGAGGAGCGAAAGCGUGGGGAGCGAACAGG